rnacentral:rRNA from 1 species
CCUACGGGUGGCUGCAGUCGGGAAUAUUGCGCAAUGGACGAAACUCUGACGCAGUGACGCCGCGUAUGUGAAGAAGUUUUUCGGAAUGUAAACUAUUGUCGGUAGGGAAGAGAAAGGACAGUACCUAAGGAUGAAGCUCCGGCUAACUACGUGCCAGCAGCAGCGGUAAUACGUAUGGAGCGAGCGUUGUACGGAAUUAUUGGGCGUAAAGGGUGCGUAGACGGGAAAACAAGUUAGUUGUGAAAUCCCUCGGCUUAACUGAGGAACUGCAACUAAAACUAUUUUUCUUGAGUGCAGGAGAGGUGAGUGGAAUUCCUAGUGUAGCGGUGAAAUGCGUAGAUAUUAGGAGGAACACCAGUGGCGAAGGCGACUUACUGGACUGUAACUGACGUUGAGGCACGAAAGUGUGGGGAGCAAACAGGAUUAGAUACCCUUGUAGUC